rnacentral:rRNA from 1 species
GCUGAAACUCGCCUACAUGAAGCUGGAGUUACUAGUAAUCGCAGAUCAGAAUGCUGCGGUGAAUGCGUUCCCGGGUCUUGUACACACCGCCCGUCACACCACGGAAGUUGGGGGCGCCCGAAGCCACUUAGCUAACCCUUUUGGGAAGCGAGUGUCGAAGGUGAAAUCAAUAACUGGGGUGAAGUCGUAACAAGGUACC